AUUGAACGCUGGCGGCAGGCUUAAUACAUGCAAGUCGAGCGGUAGCACAGGGGAGCUUGCUCCCUGGGUGACGAGCGGCGGACGGGUGAGUAAUGUCUGGGAAACUGCCUGAUGGAGGGGGAUAACUACUGGAAACGGUAGCUAAUACCGCAUAACGUCGCAAGACCAAAGAGGGGGACCUUCGGGCCUCUUGCCAUCAGAUGUGCCCAGAUGGGAUUAGCUAGUAGGUGGGGUAAUGGCUCACCUAGGCGACGAUCCCUAGCUGGUCUGAGAGGAUGACCAGCCACACUGGAACUGAGACACGGUCCAGACUCCUACGGGAGGCAGCAGUGGGGAAUAUUGCACAAUGGGCGCAAGCCUGAUGCAGCCAUGCCGCGUGUGUGAAGAAGGCCUUCGGGUUGUAAAGCACUUUCAGCGAGGAGGAAGGUGGUGAGCUUAAUACGUUCAUCAAUUGACGUUACUCGCAGAAGAAGCACCGGCUAACUCCGUG
rnacentral:rRNA from 1 species